rfam:Trichoderma reesei QM6a unplaced genomic scaffold TRIREscaffold_10, whole genome shotgun sequence.
GGUCUAGUGGCGCAAUGGUAGCGCGUUGCUUUCCGGUGGCAGAGGUUCCAGGUUCGAGCCCUGGCUGGAUCG